rnacentral:rRNA from 1 species
GACGAACGCUGGCGGCGUGCCUAAUACAUGCGAGUAGAACGCACAGUUUAUACCGUAGCUUGCUACACCAUAGACUGUGAGUUGCGAACGGGUGAGUAACGCGUAGGUAACCUGCCUGGUAGCGGGGGAUAACUAUUGGAAACGAUAGCUAAUACCGCAUAAUAUUGAUUAUUGCAUGAUAAUUGAUUGAAAGAUGCUAUUGCAUCACUACCAGAUGGACCUGCGUUGUAUUAGCUAGUAGGUGAGGUAACGGCUCACCUAGGCGACGAUACAUAGCCGACCUGAGAGGGUGAUCGGCCACACUGGGACUGGGACACGGCCCAGACUCCUACGGGAGGCAGCAGUAGGGAAUCUUCGGCAAUGGACGAAAGUCUGACCGAGCAACGCCGCGGGAGUGAAGAAGGGUGUCGGAUCGUAAAGCUCUGUUGUAAGAGAAGAACGGGUGUGAGAGUGGAAAGUUCACACUGUGACGGUAUCUUACCAGAAAGGGACGGCUAACUACGUG